UGCUUCCGGAAGGAGACAGACGGGCACCUGGAGUUCUGCACCCAAGAGGCCCCAAGUUCAGUUCGAAGGUGACUGUGUAAAGAUUAGGAAUCUGGACCAAACUCUCUAGGCUGACAUUGGAGAGGAGGAGAGGGGCAAGGGAGAAAGGAGGCGGUCCUGGACCAUGGAUGGGUGGAUGAGCAACUGUGAGCAGAUUUCCUGAUGGUUCACUGCAGUAACCAGAGGCUGCUCCUUAAAAGCUAUGGAAAGAGGGAGAGACUUCUGUAGGACCUGAGGAGGCAGUUGGUAUGGUGAAUGUUGGGACUCCUAGAAAUGACCACGGGAUGAUAGAGUUCAUCUGGUCUAACUCCUGUCACCCUUUAUUUUUACAGGCAUGUGUGAGAGAAGAUUGGAUUGUUUGAAGAAGGUAAAACUGGAAGAAGAAUCAACAAACUCACAGAGGUCAAAUGAGUAAAUUGCUGUAUUUUUUCUUUGGGGAUUGGUGUGGAAAGGAGGUGGUGCUGCUGUGGGAAGGGGCAGCGUAUUAUAAGGAUGGGUAUUUUCUUUUCACAUGUGCCUAGAUA
rnacentral:lncRNA from 1 species